AUGAACGCUGGCGGCGUGCCUAAUACAUGCAAGUCGAGCGAACGGACGAGAAGCUUGCUUCUCUGAUGUUAGCGGCGGACGGGUGAGUAACACGUGGAUAACCUACCUAUAAGACUGGGAUAACUUCGGGAAACCGGAGCUAAUACCGGAUAAUAUUUUGAACCGCAUGGUUCAAAAGUGAAAGACGGUCUUGCUGUCACUUAUAGAUGGAUCCGCGCUGCAUUAGCUAGUUGGUAAGGUAACGGCUUACCAAGGCAACGAUGCAUAGCCGACCUGAGAGGGUGAUCGCCCACACGGGAACUGAGACACGGUCCAGACGCCUACGGGAGGCAGCAGUAGGGAAUCUUACGCAAUGGGCGAAAGCCUGACGGAGCAACGCCGCGUGAGUGAUGAAGGUCUUCGGAUCGGAAAACUCUGUUAUUAGGGAAGAACAUAUGUGUAAGUAACUGUGCACAUCUUGACGGUACCUAAUCAGAAAGCCACGGCUAACUACGUG
rnacentral:rRNA from 1 species